rnacentral:rRNA from 1 species
UACGAAGGGUGCUAGCGUUGUUCGGAAUUACUGGGCGUAAAGGGCGCGUAGGCGGUACUUCAAGUCAGGCGGGAAAGCCCCGGGCUCAACCUGGGAACCGCGCUUGAGACUGGAGAACUAGAGUUCGGGAGAGGAUGGUGGAAUUCCCAGUGUAGAGGUGAAAUUCGUAGAUAUUGGGAAGAACACCGAUGGCGAAGGCAGCCAUCUGGACCGACACUGACGCUGAGGCGCGAAAGCGUGGGGAGCAAACAGG